rnacentral:rRNA from 1 species
AGCUAAUACCGGAUAAUAUAUUGAACCGCAUGGUUCAAUAGUGAAAGACGGUUUUGCUGUCACUUAUAGAUGGAUCCGCGCCGCAUUAGCUAGUUGGUAAGGUAACGGCUUACCAAGGCAACGAUGCGUAGCCGACCUGAGAGGGGUGAUCGGCCACACUGGAACUGAGACACGGUCCAGACUCCUACGGGAGGCAGCAGGG